UGAGUUUGCCGUUGCAAUAGAGCGGUCUAACGCCACGGCCAUUAGGAUUAUACCCUUUUUAUUACUGUUCCUUUUUUCUUUUUAGGUUCUUCACAAAAAAAUAGAAAACCUAGAAUUGCUCUCUGCCUCUCUCUCUCCUCAAAAUCUUAGAACAAUCUGAUAACCUCCUUCACUCCUUGUUCGCUGCUCCACCGCUACCGUCGCCGUCGGCUGGCUUCUUCCAAUCUUUCGUUCUUCGCUGCCUCACACCUUAGUCCUCACCGGCCUCCUGUAGUCCAGUAGAUCGACCGUCGCCCAUGACCCGUCGUGCCUCAUUGCCUCACAGGAUCUCGGCCGUCGUUGCUGCCACACCGUCGGCCGUCUUCGAUGCAUCAAUGUCUUCUUCUCCUUUCAACCUUUUAUCUCUUUCCUCCUAAUCUUCACAAAAAUCAGGUGCAUGGGGAGCUAAAUGGAGCUGAAGCAUAGUAACUAGCUAGUCAUUUAACAAAUGGU